rnacentral:misc_RNA from 1 species
GAUGAAGAACGCAGCGAAAUGCGAUAAGUAAUGUGAAUUGCAGAAUUCAGUGAAUCAUCGAAUCUUUGAACGCACAUUGCGCCCCCUGGUAUUCCGGGGGGCAUGCCUGUCCGAGCGUCAUUGCUGCCCUCAAGCACGGCUUGUGUGUUGGGCCUCCGUCCUCCUCCCGGGGGACGGGCCCGAAAGGCAGCGGCGGCACCGCGUCCGGUCCUCGAGCGUAUGGGGCUUCGUCACCCGCUCUUGUAGGCCCGGCCGGCGCUUGCCGACACAUCAAUCUUUUUUCCAGGUUGACCUCGGAUCAGGUAGGGAUACCCGCUGAACUUAAGCAUAUCAUAAGCGGAGGA